UACGAGGGGGGCUAGCGUUGCUCGGAAUCACUGGGCGUAAAGCGCACGUAGGCGGGUCGUUAAGUCGGGGGUGAAAUCCUGGAGCUCAACUCCAGAACUGCCUUCGAUACUGGCGACCUUGAGUCCGGGAGAGGUGAGUGGAACUCCGAGUGUAGAGGUGAAAUUCGUAGAUAUUCGGAAGAACACCAGUGGCGAAGGCGGCUCACUGGCCCGGUACUGACGCUGAGGUGCGAAAGCGUGGGGAGCAAACAGG
rnacentral:rRNA from 1 species